UACGUAGGGGGCUAGCGUUGUCCGGAAUCAUUGGGCGUAAAGAGCGUGUAGGCGGUCCGGUAAGUCCGCUGUGAAAGUCGGGGGCUCAACCCUCGAAUGCCGGUGGAUACUGUCGGGCUAGAGUGCGGAAGAGGCGAGUGGAAUUCCUGGUGUAGCGGUGAAAUGCGCAGAUAUCAGGAAGAACACCAAUGGCGAAGGCAGCUCUCUGGGGCGGUACUGACGCUGAGACGCGAAAGCGUGGGGAGCGAACAGG
rnacentral:rRNA from 1 species